GCCUCAUUCACCCACCCAGGGCCUCAUGCACCCCCCCCCCCAAGCCAGCUAGUCAUCCAAUGGAGAGAGGACAGCAGUACCAAGUGCCAGCUGGCCCAUCCCAUCCUACUGGAAAUGCUGAAAAAGAUGGAGAAGUUAACAUUUGUUUCAUCCUGGCUCUGACAGAGCUCUCCAUCAUUCAUUCAUCUGUGCCCCAUGAGGUGAAUGGCGGUGCUAUGAUUCCAGUGCUUUCUUCCUGGAAUGUGGUCCUUUUCUGGAUAGUCAGCCCUUUGUGCCUCUGGGCUCUACAUGUUUAGAUUCAGCCAACUGUGGAAUAAACAAAAACUCAGUACUU